rnacentral:rRNA from 1 species
GACAGAGGUGCCAAGCGUUAGGCGGAAUCACUGGGCUUAAAGCGUGUGUAGGCGGAUUUGUAAGUACCUUGUGAAAUCCCACGGCUCAACCGUGGAACUGCUCGGUAUACUGCGAGUCUUGAGCCACUUAGGGGCUACCGGAACAAAUGGUGGAGCGGUGAAAUGCGUAGAUAUCAUUUGGAACGCCAAUGGUGAAAACAGGUAACUGGGGAUGUGCCG